rnacentral:tRNA from 7 species
GGCCGCGUGGCCUAAUGGCUAAGGCGCUAGAUUUCGGUGUCCAGCAACUGAACUCUCUAGAGAUUCCAGGUUCGAAUCCUGGCGUGGUCG